AAGCGUUGUUCGGAAUUAUUGGGCGUAAAGGGCGUGUAGGCGGCCUCAUAAGUCUGAUGUGAAAGCCCCGGGCUCAACCUGGGAAGUGCAUUGGAAACUGUGAGACUUGAGUACGGGAGAGGGCAGUGGAAUUCCCAGUGUAGGAGUGAAAUCCGUAGAUAUUGGGAGGAACACCGGUGGCGAAGGCGGCUGCCUGGACCGAUACUGACGCUGAGACGCGAAAGCGUGGGGAGCAAACAGGAUUAGAUACCCUGGUAGUCCACGCCGUAAACGAUGAGAACUAGGUGUUGCGGGUAUUGACCCCUGCAGUGCC
rnacentral:rRNA from 1 species